AGAACAGCCCCUGAUCUGUGGUCGGAGCGCAGUGAGCGGAGCGGGCUCAGAGGUCACAGAAUCAUGCUGGAAGGAGAGCUAUUGUCUCCAGAAAACCUUUUUAAGUCUUCUAAAGGCCUCUAUCUGGAAAGACUUUUUGGUGGUAGGAGGGCUGCUUUGCCAGUGCUAGACCAGAACAGACAUAUAUUUGCAGAGGAUGCUGGAAAGAGAAGUUUCYUCUUAAACAGGAAAAGUGCAAAACCUGCAGCUGCACCUCGGAGGAGAUGUCUGGCUCCCCCGCAGAGCUCUGGGAAGCAGCAACCGUCAUGAGACAAAAGGGAGGCUCUCUGUGGAAAAGCARCCACUUGGAAACCCGUAAGCACCCGGGGAGGCCACGAGAACCAGACACGCUCUGCAGCAARGGAUGCCCUGUCUGGCAAAGGGAUGCAGAGAAAAGGACAUUUUGGGGCUGGUGGAGCAGCAGUGAGAGACGAGGAAGUUGUKGGGAGCAGGAUCCCCCCCAGCCUCUCUGGCCUGUCGACCUGCGARCAAGCAGGUGCCUGUCGUUGGAUUGCAGUGAAUAUUGCACAAGAGGCUGUAGGCUGGUGGAAAGACUCCAGGGAGCCAGCUUCAGCCUACGGACAGUAGGUUUAACUCCCUUCGUCUAGACGCUCUCCCAGGGAUUACAUCAGCAAUAAUUUGUCAGUGGCAUGGCUAGUAUUUACUAGUGUGGGGAGAGCCUCCUUAUACUCUCCCAUGCUCUGUCGUAGAGGACUCACUUCUAGCAGAGAGGCUGCCGAGGCCACAACUCCCAUGUUUAUUAUUCUGUUAGUGCUACUAAUGAUUAGCAGAAGCAAAGGUGUCUGCACGUCUCCCUGAGAGGCAAGGAGAACAUCCUCCACGUGUUUUGAGAAUCUCCACUGUCAGCUGAUGACUUAAGAGCCUCAACUAUUUUAAUAUGAAUUGUACUUAUGCAAAUACAUACAUCGGGUUUGGAAAUAUAGCUUGUGCGUACAUUGCUGUCACAUUAGGAAAUCAUUCCUUCGGUCUCAAAACCACUGAUGAGGUGAAUGUUGUAAUUCUAUUUCCAGUUUCUAGAUAAUAGGCCGACGACUUUUAGAUACAAUAACUUGGCCAAACUCACUUGCUGUGCCUCAGGAAUAUCCACUGUGCCUGACUUAAAGCACUAAUUUAGCUACCUGACAUAAGAGGGCACUGUCUCUAGCCUCCCAGGAUAGUAAAAGGAGAGAGGUGACUCUGAGUUCCCUUUUGCAGAAGUCUUUCCAGUAAACUUGUGUUCUGAAUAACCUUCUGGAAGGGUUUGCCUUUUCCUACAGACUGUAUAGAAGACCUGGAUUACAUUAGAAUAGAAGUUUAAAUGUGUGGCAUUUUAUAUUUUAUGCCCCUAUACCCUACCCUCUAACAACAUUAUCUUGAAUUUUCAUCAUGCAGAGAGAAGGUGAUUGAACAAUUGUCUCUGUUAAGGAUCUGAAACGAAAUAACUGAAGCCUUAGACAUACAGACAUCUCAGAGGAUGUUUACUUAGUUCAUAAUAUGCAGUAGAACAGUAUGAGUUUUACAAGGAUUAGCUUUAAUACUCUGGAUCCUCCCAAUGCCCAAGCAUUAAGGGCACUCAAUUAUACAGCCUGAUGGUGGCUGGGAAGAGGGGCCCUGGAGACACCCAUGGAAAAAUGAAUGUUUAACUCAACAGGAAAAAUAAAUCUUUAGCUCAAGAUGGAAAUCAAGGGACUCUCGCAAACACCAAGGAUCGAUGUUGUUUCAUUAUUAAACUGCUGUGCUGUUGUUCCCAUGGAAGCAAAGAAACAAAUAUUUAGAGCUGUGCAACACCUUCCACCAGAAAUCCAGCUACGGCUCUUUUGGAAAGUGUUCCUGUCAAGGAGAGCCCUCCUGCUUCCUCAAUGAAGCCUUUGUGUCCUGCCUUGGACUCCCUCCUGCACAGGCUACAAGGUGAAACUCUAYGCUCAACUUCGUAAACGUUGCUUGUCUUUACAAUUCUUUAAAAGGAAUUAAUUACCUUAAGAGGCCUUUCCAUGGUGCAGAUGCUAAGUUUGAGUCUUCAAGAAUGUCCCAAAUCACAUUUGUGACAGCAGUGGCAUUGGGUCRUUUGGUGUUGAGGGUUUUAUUUUGUUUUUAUCCAUAAUUUUCUACAGAUCUACUCUAGCAACUUGCCAAGUGAUUUCACCUUGAACCCAGCAUGAUCUCUUCAGAGAUGGAAGAAAAAAGCCUGAACUAAAAGGGAUAUUUUGGCCAAAAAAUAUAUUUACCUUACUAAGAUAAUAUGAUCCAUCUCUCCAUUACCAGUGGGAAGAGAUUUUUUUCUU